AACAAAAACACACAAGCCUCCAUCAGAAACACGGACAUGCAGCAGUAAGGAAGCAUUGAGCCAUCAGCCCCUCCCUCUUCAAAUCUCUCUGAUAUAACCACAGGUAUCCAUCAACUCCAGCUCAGAAGGUAGAAGUGAUGUCAACAUUAUCCCAAGUUUAACUGCAAGCUGUGCAGCAGGAGUGAAUAGUUGCCGUUUUUGCCUUCGCUCUUUGGUGUACAGAAGACAAUCAACAGAUUGGCUCGUUAAUAUGCCAACAGGACUUGACCUGUUGCGUAAAUAUUAAUGCCUGAAGUAACUUUAAAAAUCAAGCUCCACUGAAGGAAAAUGACUGGCAUCCACAUAAUGAUUCAUACAAUAAUGUAUGAAUCAUUGUACCACACAUGUACCUUCCGGAAAGAAAUCUGAGGAAUCCAUAACCAUCUAACCACAACCACACCUGUCAACCUCAGUCUCAUGGCGUAACUCACCCCCUCCAGAGCCUCGACCAGCAGAACUCGGAUUCCCAGACGACCGCAUUACACCUUUCCUUGUAAAUCUGUCUAACCUGAACUCUGCCUCGCAACCACCAUGGUAGAUUCUAUUCUCAUGGGCUGGCCAGGUCCUGCUCCAGCUAAGUAUCCAAAAACCAUGACACUUCCAGCUCUGUGCUUUAUUUCUUUAAAAUACUGUAGUUGGUUUGUGCGAAAAAUACCAUUUGUUUAUUUGUGUCCAAAUAUUUCAGUUUUAGACUAAUGUGUCCUAGGAACAUUAACAAGAGGUACUGGGGCCUCAAUUAUAAACAUGGCAUAUGCAUGUGAAAGGGGCUUGAAACUGGCAUACGUCAUUUUCCAUGCAGAGGUUCUGAUCUAUAAAAACAAACUUGACAGGUGAAUGCGCAGUCCCUCAAGUAAACUCUGACCCAUACGUACGCUUGUUUUGGAGACAGGUGUUGUGAUUAUUAUGAAUGUCAGUCAUUUUCUACCGCUUCUUCCAUAGUGGGUCGCGGGGAAGCUAGUGCCUAUCUCCAGUAGUCUAUGGGCGGGAGGCGGGGUACACCAUGGACAGGUCGCCAGUCCAUCGCAGGGUUUAUUAUGAAUGUAUUAUUUAAUAUCAACAUUUUAAUAUUUUAUUAAAUAAUAAUUGGGUCUAUUAAGUUCUGUCUGAUGAAUACCAGCCCAAUAAGGCGGUGGUAUUAGGACAAUAGUGAAAGGGGUGAGCCAGGCUCUGAUAUUGCUGAACAGCAAAACUCUGCACACUCAUGGAAUAAAUUCAAACAAUUUCUUAAAAUACAAGAAUUUAUUAACAAAAAUAAGUUAACUCAAAGUCAAACAUGUUUCAAUCAACAAACUCUUUACUAUCCUAAAACAAUUCAACUAAAACUAACAGGCAAAUUGAAAGAAUAAGGAAGAGCAAUGAACUAUAUACAAUACGAACAAAUGAAUCAAAGAUGGUUAAAAACCAUGACCAAUAAAAUGAUGCAACAUUACCUUUCAAUGUUAUUUGUUUGAGAACCAAGGGUUAUCUGGAGGAAUCUGGAAACGAGGUUACGUUAAUCUUGGAACUGACUUGCAAGUGGUAUACCUUCAACCAACUUUUCACAAUGCAAGAUCAGAUAAAAAAUUAUUUUAAUAAAAUUAUAUUUCAAAGAAUGAUUUCAUUCAUUACUUAACUUUGUUCAUACGAUUGGCGUGAUCGUAGUCUCUUUUCGAUCCAAGCAGACUUGUGUCUGCUCGCCGGCAAGGAGACGCUUAGUGCCCCCUUGUCUGGUUCUCCUGCUGGAAACAGGUGCAGGCCGCCAUGUGGGAACACGGCGUUUUUGUUCAAACAGUGACGUCACGGGGAGUCAGCUAUGACUCCUUGUUACGACCAGUGGUCGUAGGGGUGUUUUGUUUUUAUAACCUUGUGUACAGGCUGCUGAAGUGCUCCGCUGAAGAGAAGAAAACCUUGCUCCGUCGUUUCGGCAGCUUGGCUUCGCGGGAUUCCCUCCCUUCUUCGCUGGUUGCUGGUGGAGGCGGAUCUUCCUGGACGCUCAGUAUUCCUCCUGCUGGACAUCGCCGGGAUAUCCUGUGAACUGUCUAUCGUCUGCUUCCGCAAAUGCGCCGCCAAUCAUUACGGAGUCCAGCCUAUAUAAACUCUCUACACCUGUCACCAAAAGGCGGCUGUGAUUUAAUCUGAGCAGCUCGCCUUGUGUGUUUGUGAAGCUCAUGCUAGUGGUGGUAUUUGUUGAUUGUGGUAAAACUAUUGAUUACCGUUUAACCUGUCUGUUUUCUCUGGCGAUUUGGUUAGAGCUGGCUGGCUUGUUAUUGUUAGUAUUUAGACUUGUUAAAUAGGCAUCAAGUCUAGGGUUUGAGCUCUUUUGUUUGAGUUUUGACUGUUUUAUUUUGUGCUACUGGCUGUUAUGUUUGUUACCUCAUGUUAGUGGGGCUCUCUUUUGCACAUGUGUCUGUGAUGUUAAACCAUUACUAAUAAACAAUAUUCAUUAGACUUCCCAUAUCUCCAUUUUCUUUAUGUUACUUCCCCUCCUUCACCCCUGGCAGACCCGGGUCGUAACACUCCUCUUCCUGGGCUGCGUUAGGAAUAGGUUAGUAUGAUGUUGAAAGGUGCAGAGAUUCAUACUGGCCUUCGAUGAUGUACAGAGUCCUUGUCCAUCCAUGUUGCAAUCCAUGGUUGUGGUCCCACCACAGGGGAAACUGGCAAUGCAGAUGGUAUGGAGGGGAAAUGAAGCCCCACUACAUAAUGAUUCCUCUCAAACAUUCAAUUUUAUUCCAUAUCAAGCAUUAAUCAUAGAUUGACAUCAUCAUAUGCAUUGAAAACCACAGCGUUAUUUAUGUUGCACUGGUGAGCCAUAACUAUACAUAAGGACCUUUCACAUAAACAAAAAAAAGGCCUAUAAGCCAACUCUAAUGUUAAAUCAAAGGCC